rnacentral:rRNA from 1 species
AUUGAACGCUGGCGGCAUGCCUUACACAUGCAAGUCGAACGGUAACGGGCCUUCGGGUGCCGACGAGUGGCGAACGGGUGAGUAAUGCAUCGGAACGUACCCAUCAGUGGGGGAUAACUCUCAGAAAGGAGGGCUAAUACCGCAUAUUCUGUGCGCAGGAAAGCGGGGGACCGCAAGGCCUCGCGCCGAUGGAGCGGCCGAUGUCAGAUUAGCUAGUUGGUGGGGUAAAGGCCUACCAAGGCGACGAUCUGUAGCGGGUCUGAGAGGAUGAUCCGCCACACUGGGACUGAGACACGGCCCAGACUCCUACGGGAGGCAGCAGUGGGGAAUUUUGGACAAUGGGGGCAACCCUGAUCCAGCCAUGCCGCGUGAGUGAAGAAGGCCUUCGGGUUGUAAAGCUCUUUCGGCCGGGAAGAAAUCGCAUCUCCUAAUACGGGGUGUGGAUGACGGUACCGGAAUGAGAAGCACCGGCUAACUACGUGCCAGCCGCCGCAGUAA